ACUAUGAGAUGCCUGACUUUGAUGUAGCCCGAAUAUCCCCCUGGCUGCUGCGUGUGGAACUGGACCGAAAGCACAUGACUGACCGGAAGCUUACCAUGGAACAGAUUGCUGAAAAAAUCAAUGCAGGCUUUGGCGAUGAUUUGAAUUGUAUCUUCAAUGAUGAUAAUGCAGAGAAGCUGGUCCUUCGUAUCCGCAUCAUGAACAGUGAUGAAAACAAGAUGCAGGAGGAGGAAGAGGUGGUGGAUAAGAUGGAUGAUGAUGUUUUCCUGCGGUGCAUUGAGUCCAACAUGCUGACAGAUAUGACCCUGCAGGGUAUUGAGCAGAUCAGCAAGGUAUACAUGCACUUACCUCAGACAGACAACAAGAAGAAGAUCAUCAUCACAGAAGAUGGGGAGUUCAAGGCCCUGCAAGAAUGGAUCUUGGAGACAGAUGGUGUGAGCCUGAUGCGGGUGCUGAGCGAGAAGGAUGUAGACCCUGUGCGCACUACGUCCAAUGACAUCG
rnacentral:lncRNA from 1 species